GCCGGCAACAACACGGGCAGCAAUAGGCAGGCCCAGAGCAGCAGCAGCGGGGCUGUGGAGCGCAUCCUGCCCGGCUCCGGCCGCCGCCGCCGCGCCGAGCCCCGGAAGGCAGCGCCGGCCCCGGCCCGGCCUGUCCCGCCUCCCCGCCUGGCACCGCCUCCCGCGGCCGGGGCCCAGCUGCCGGGCCGGGGUUCGCCGCGGUUGCGAAGGGGCCGCUCCCGCGGGCUCCGGCGCUCGCUACCCGCCCGCCCCGCGGUCCCCGGAGCCCCGGCGGUGCCGGUGCCAGCGCCAUUUCCUCGCCGGUAACGACUGCUUUAACCACAACACGCACCAUCUGCCCAGAUGCGAAGUGAUCCCAGGGUUCAAACUGCGAUCAGACAUGGAACAGACGUGCCUGUGAUGCCGGUUCAGCGCGGCGUAGCUGCUGAACUCAAGAAGUUCUUUGGGAUGAGGAAGUUUUGACGUGCACAAUGUGCAGAAGGCCCCUUAGGCUGCGUGAAUCGGUUACUGUUGCAGCUUGAUUUCAUUGCUGACUUUUUGUGUACUUGCCCAGUUUCCAAGUGGGGCCACAGUUUAUUUCUGUGCAGGAAGAGAAAUAAAUAGAUAA